UAUUGGGCAAUGGGCGCAAGCCUGACCCAGCAACGCCGCGUGAAGGAAGAAGGCCCUCGGGUUGUAAACUUCUUUUAUUCGGGACGAAACAAAUGACGGUACCGAAUGAAUAAGCCACGGCUAACUACGUGCCAGCAGCCGCGGUAAUACGUAGGUGGCAAGCGUUAUCCGGAUUUACUGGGUGUAAAGGGCGUGUAGGCGGGAGAGCAAGUCAGACGUGAAAUUCCAGGGCUCAACCCUGGAACUGCGUUUGAAACUGUUCUUCUUGAGUGAUGGAGAGGCAGGCGGAAUUCCGUGUGUAGCGGUGAAAUGCGUAGAUAUACGGAGGAACACCAGUGGCGAAGGCGGCCUGCUGGACAUUAACUGACGCUGAGGCGCGAAAGCGUGGGGAGCAAACAGG
rnacentral:rRNA from 1 species